GAUGAACGCUGGCGGCGUGCCUAAUACAUGCAAGUCGAGCGAACAGACGAGGAGCUUGCUCCUCUGACGUUAGCGGCGGACGGGUGAGUAACACGUGGAUAACCUACCUAUAAGACUGGGAUAACUUCGGGAAACCGGAUCUAAUACCGGAUAAUAUAUUGAACCGCAUGGUUCAUUAGUGAAAGACGGUUUUGCUGUCACUUAUAGAUGGAUCCGCGCCGCAUUAGCUAGUUGGUAAGGUAACGGCUUACCAAGGCGACGAUGCGUAGCCGACCUGAGAGGGGAAUCGGCAAAACGGGAACUGAGACACGGUCCAGACUCCUACGGAAGGCAGCAGUAGGGAAUCUUCCGAAAUGGGCGAAAGCCUGACGGAGCAACGCCGCGUGAGUGAUGAAGGUCUUCGGAUCGUAAAACUCUGUUAUUAGGGAAGAACAAAGGUGUAAGUAACUAUGCACGUCUUGACGGUACCUAAUCAGAAAGCCACGGCUAACUACGU
rnacentral:rRNA from 1 species